rnacentral:lncRNA from 1 species
ACACAUAUUUGCCAUCGUGGCAAAAAUGGUCAUCCUAAUCCUAUCUUUGGCUGCAGGGAUGAGGCUGGUGCCACCAUUGAUAUUAAUCAAUAUCACUGUCCAAGAAUGACUUCACGAACGGGCUUUCCUUUUCUUGUUCUGUCUUCAAAGCACACUAAUUGAGCUGUCCAGAGAGUAUGCAUCUUUUUGAAGGAAGCAAAAGGUAAAAUUUCAGUGUUUAUUUUUUAACAUAUAUGCUGAGCUCCUUUGUUCAUCUGAAUAAGGUUUUUGAGGUUCAAUUACGUACAGAUGGUAGGUGAAUCUGCAUGCACUAACACAAGAAACCCCAC